rnacentral:piRNA from 1 species
UCUGAUCCUAUUACCUUAGGUGCUCCAAA